rnacentral:lncRNA from 1 species
AAACACAUUACAUCAAAAAUUUAUCAGAAAGAAAGAUCACUAAACAAGGUAAUACAAUGCUACAGAAAAUAUGGCAAUUUCAAACACUCCACCAAGAGCCAAUCAGAAAGAUAGUUCACUAAACAAGGUAAUAUAACGCAUGCAUUAGAUGGAGCCAGAAUACUCUCACAAGUUAAACAACAACAGGUUUUAAGCCUAGUUCACAAGCACAAUGCUGUAACUAAGUUCCCAAUAACCAGAAGAUUGACUUGGGUAGAUCAUAGGAUUGCUAACAUUAUACAUAAUAUUCAUAAGUAGAGUAGACAGUUAAAACACGACUCAUACAUAAUACAUUACUUGUUCUCGGGCUUUGUCUCAUGACCAGAAGACGGGACUCUGAGGGUGAGACAUUCCCUCCUGAACUCCUUAGCCUCAUCAGUAUCCUUAUCUGGGCAGUCAUCAGUCAAGUGAGCACCACGCGCGCCACAGUUAUAGCAACAUAUCACAUAAACAAAUUUUUUUUGUCCACUCCCAGGGACAUAAGAACCCCAUGCACAUCCCUCAGGUAAAGAUUCUGGUAGUUCCACUUUUCGAAAGGCUUUACUGAGACUAGGAUCUCUCUCUUUGCAAACAGAGAAAAAAAAGGGUAUUGAAUGAGAGAUAUAGAAAAGUCAUGAUAACGAAAUGUAUGUUUUAUGGGAGAUGAUGAUGACUCAAUGAGGAGCAAAUCAGAAACAUCAGAGUUAACAAGUGUGUGUGUGUGUGUGGGCAACAUGAUGCUAAGCAACCUAGUGGUGUUGGGGAUCAUUGAAGUUAGAAACUUAAUACACAUGUAUGAUACAGGGAACAUAAUUAUCUUUUAACCAGUGGCAGAUCCAGAAUGUAAAUUUUGUCUAGGCUAACUAGAGAAUUUUUGUGUAGGCUCAAGCCCAAGCCUUCUACAUAGAUCCACCCUGCUCCUAACUCUGAAUAAUCAUACAGCAAAAUGAGCAAACUUAAUCAAUAUCAUAUUCUUUUUACUAAUUUAUGUUCUUCAAUUCAUUCAUUAAUUCAAAUGCAAUGCAAUGCUGCAAACAAAUAAAGCACAAUCGUAUUGAUUCCUCGUAGAAAACACAAACACAGAGGCGUAAACACCUUGCAGAUAAUUCGAUGAGCUACAUGGUCAAAAAAAUUACCAAUAUGAAAAGUAAAGAAAUAAAAUCAAGAGCAUACUCGCAAAAUAGGCCGUCCAAGCCUUUUCGGCCCGUUCUUCUGGCGUGAGUAAUAGAUCUUCGGGAGUCCAACCUAGUUCGGCUAAUGAAGAUUCUAGGUCGGAGCCGUUUUCUUGAUCGGAGCCGUUCGUCUUCGACUUCUUGGCGGGGGAUGAGGGGUCCAAGUCCGAUGGUAAGGAUGUGGGGUUCGGCCUCUUCGGUUGGUUCAUUUCCGGUGGUGAGGAUUUGGGUUUCAGUUCCGGUGGGGAGGAUUUGGGGUCUUCGUUUAGGUUUGAGGUUGUGGCGUGUCCUGAUUAAUACUCGGUCUGUGAACCAGAAAUCAAAUAUGGGAUUUGGGCCAAUUUUUUCCUUCUUUUAAUAGAAGGGCCGACCUUCUUCUUUUCUUUUAAUAGAGACAAGGAAAGUGAAGCUGAAUUGGUAAGUGUUAUGUGGUUGUUUUGUUGCAGAACAAGAACAAUGGAGAAGGAUGCAAUCGCUUUGAUGGAUCAUUUGGGGCGGACGUAGCCGUGAGACUUUGGGGUGAUGUCGAAUCAGGGUUUGGAGCUUCGGCUGUCAUGGCUGGCUUCAAGCAGCUCAAAUGGAGACUCAGACUCGGUAAAGGAAGAGAAUAGUACGGAGAAAGAAAAUGAAGAAAAGAAAAAUCAUUUAACAAAAGACAUGUUAGAAAAAAUAACAGGUAGGAAAAACUCUUAAAAAAAUAAAAAAUAAAAGACCAAAACACAAAUAAUUUAUGCCAGUUGACAUGCUCCAUAACGGAAUUAACGCAGGUAAACACUUUUCUUUAGUCGAGAUAAGAACGUUAGAUAUUGUUUUUAAGUUUUUCAAAGUUAAGAUACCAAAGUUUUGUUUAUAUAAAACAUGAGAUACUGUUUGAACAAUUUUCCCUCUUUAUAUUUCAAUCUAGUUAGUCUGGCCUUCAUACGUGAGUUCUCUUACACAUUGCUUUUGGACCCAAUUAAUUCCUAAGCUUUCUGUUUUUUUCCUUUCAUGAAGAGUGAAGAUGAAUUCCAGUCUUGCAUAAGCUUGAAGAAGGAUAAGAAUUGACGAAGUUAACAAACUAACAAUCCACGUAGCUUUUAUUUAGAAUAUUGUACGUAAACGUGUUGUUGGCUUAUUGGUUGGGACACCAUCUCAGCCUUAUUCCGGGUACACCUAAUUCCUUAAAUUAAACAACUUGUUGAUACCCAAAAUUCCACGAGUUCGUUUCUUUAAGUUGACAUAUGCCCACAGCCUUAUUGGGCCUUCAUCCAAGCUUAAUAUGGUCGAAGAGACUUCCUUGAAAAAUGACAAACUCAAGUUCUGCCAUGCAAACAUAACACGUAGACCUAAGCUACAUCCAUUGGGGCUUACAGAGGGGAUGUGGUGUGGAAGGCAACAUGAUGCUAAGCAACCUAGUGGUGUUGGGGAUCAUUGAAGUUAGAAAAUUAAUACACAUGUAUGAUACAUGGCACAUAAUUAUCUUUUAACUAGUGGCAGAUCCAGAAUGUAAAUUGUCUAACUCUGAAUAAUCAUACAGCAAAAUAAGCAAACUUAAUCAAUAUCAUAUUCUUUUCACUAUUUUCUGUUCUUCAAUUCAUUCAUUGAUUCAAAUGCAAUGCAAUGCAGUGCUGCAAACAAAUAAAGCACAAUCGUAUUGAUUCCUCGUAGAAAACACAAAUACAGAGGCUACAACAAGCUCUGAGAGGUAUUCCAAAGAAUGCCUCUGAGUAAGUCCCUGAAGAUUAUAAGAGUUGGGACAUGAAAAGGUACUCACUAACAUCUUGCUUGUUCUCAAUAAUCCCAGUAACAACAUUUAGAUUCUCAAAGAAGAUAUAAAAUGUGCCAACCAGUUGAAGAAAGUGCCUUCUACAAAUCUUGCUGAAACUAUGCCAUUCCGCAAGGUCGAUGAAUUUGAGUGAGCAUGCAGCACCCUCGCCCUAGUUAAGGCAAGACAUCUUAUAAACAUCUUAGAAUUCCCAGUCCAUAGAUUCCUCCACGAACUCGUUGUCGACAAAUUUUCGUGCGGCAAGACGUUCAUAGUCAUGUUUAGAAUCAUGAGGAAGCCGCAAGUUUUUAAUACCAUCAAGGCAUCUUGUUUUUAAUUCUUCAUCCAGUUCGAGACCAAAAUGGCCGGAGCGAUCCCGACCCAGAUUAAUAUGCCAACAAUGUCGCAGAUCAAGUGUCUCAAGCAGCGGACAGCCAUCAAGAAUGGCGCGCAAGUCCUUGCUAGUGAGCUUAUUUCCGAAAAGCUGAAGGUGGUGUAAACCAUGCAUUGUUUCUGCUACAGCAUGUGCAUCGCCAUCCCACCCAAGAAAAAACCAUUUAGUGUUGUACUUGUUCAAUUUCAAUGAUUUCAAACGAGGGCAACAACGGCCAAUCACUUCAACAUUGGCAUGUCGUGUGUGUUCGAAGGGAGGAAUAUCGAGUCUGUAGUUGCAGUGUGAAAGUUCAAGUUCCUCCAACAGCGGCAGCUUUGGAGCUGCUUCAAUCAGUCCAUUAGUUGUUAUGUUAGACAACACAAAACAGAGCCGUUUGAUUCCCCUACAACUAUAUAGAAAAAAGUUAUGAAUGAACAUGUUAGCAGGUAUCCAAAAUCCAAAUCUCGAGAUAAUUAAACAUUCAUAGAUCCAAAAUUCAACUUGUAGAAAAUUACAAUACCUGUCAGUGAUAUGCUUAAGGAGAUCGUCGGAGCCGAAGUUGUGAACACUGAUCCCCACGAGGUUGCCACAGCUAAGAUCAACGGCUUUCCUACACAACAUGUCCAUCUGGUACCGCGAGGAGGACGACUUGCCAUAAAGCGAAUCGUCGCGCAUGUCGAUGGUGAGCCAGUUUCUAGGGUCCAUGCAGAUUCUGCGCCAUGUCGUACACACGUACACAGCGGUCACCAGGAUCUCGAUGGCUCCCAGCCGUGACAGUAUAGAAGCUGUGAUUUCUUCAGGGAGGUCGAUCCAGUCUUGUCGCUGGGUUUUGUUUGAGGGUUCGGCCAUUGUUAUCCAAGGUGUUGGAGGCUAGGUUUUAAUUUAUAGUUGGUAUGGUCUUUAAUUUAUUGGGCCAGCAGUGAGCAGCCCAUCUUAGAACAAGAACUGCGUCCUUCAACGUCUGAAGAACGCCAGCUCCAUGAAUCGCACUUUUUCUUAAUCACGGAAGUUAAACCAAUCUGUAAUUUGGAAUCAAACAAGCUAACAUUACUGGUAAACUGGAGAUGCAGAAGCACAAUAUCUUUGCCACUAGAAACCUUUCCCUAACAAGUAACAACACACACAUGCACACAAUGGCAGAUUGGCAACAAUACUACCUUAUUAGCAGCUGAUCAGAAAUAGAACUAUACUGCAGAGAAAUUCUAGACCAUUGGGAUAUGGAUGACGGCUACAACAUUUGAUUUGACCUUCAACUCAAACUCAAUUUCAUGGUGACCAUUCCAGGGGGAACAUUUUAUCAAUUGCUCAUCUACCAUGAACAAAUGGUCAAAUUAUCUGCAUCAUACUCAUAAUCAUCAGUUGAUCACCAUUAGGAAGCCGAAGUAUUUUAAUUCGUUCAACCAAUCAUCAGUGAAUGUGGCCUUUGCCGAUCCAUCAGUUCUCAAUGAUCGAUUAAUAAUCUCACAACUGAGUUUAAUUAUAUGUCUUUGGCUUUGAUCAAACAUAUGUAUAGUGUCACAUUGUGUAAUAUCAAACAUACAUGUUUUGCCGUUUGAGAGGCUACUGAAAAUAUGACAAUUUUAAACACUCUACAUUAAAAAUUUAUCAGAAAGAAAGAUCACUAAACAAGGUAAUACAAUGCUACAGAAAAUAUGGCAAUUUCAAACACUCCACCAAGAGCCAAUCAGAAAGAUAGUUCACUAAACAAGGUAAUACAACGCAUGCAUUAGAUAGACAUAAUACUCUCACAAGUUAAACAACCAUAGGUUUUUAGCCUAGUUCACAAGCACAAUACUGUAACUAAGUUCCCAAUAACCAGAAGAUUGACUUGGGUAGAUCAUAGGAUUGCUAACAUUAUACAUAAUAUUCAUAUAGGGAAAUAAGUAGAGUAGACAGUUAAAACACGACUCAUACAUAAUACAUUACUUGUUCUCGGGCUUUGUCUCAUGACCAGAAGACGGGACUCUGAGGGUGAGAUUUUCCCUCCUGUACUCCUUAGCCUCAUCAGUAUCCUUAUCUGGGCAGUCAUCAGUCAAGUGAGCACCACGCGCGCCACAGUUAUAGCAACAUAUCACAUAAACAAAUUUUUUUUGUCCACUCCCAGGGACAUAAGAACCCCAUGCACAUCCCUCAGGUAAAGAUUCUGGAAGUUCCACUUUUCGAAAGGCUUUACUGAGACUAGGAUCUCUCUCUUUGCAAACAGAGAAAAAAAAGGUUAAAAAAGGGUAUUGAAUGAGAGAUAUAGAAAAGUCAUGAUAACGAAAUGUAUGUUUUAUGGGAGAUGAUGAUGACUCAAUGAGGAGCAAAUCAGAAACAUCAGAGUUAACAAGUGUGUGUGUGUGUGUGGGCAACAUGAUGCUAAGCAACCUAGUGGUGUUGGGGAUCAUUGAAGUUAGAAACUUAAUACACAUGUAUGAUACAGGGCACAUAAUUAUCUUUUAACCAGUGGCAGAUCCAGAAUGUAAAUUUUGUUUAGGCUAACUAGAGAAUUUUUGUGUAGGCUCAAGCCCAAGCCUUCUACAUAGAUCCACCCUGCUCCUAACUCUGAAUAAUCAUACAGCAAAAUGAGCAAACUUAAUCAAUAUCAUAUUCUUUUUACUAAUUUAUGUUCUUCAAUUCAUUCAUUAAUUCAAAUGCAAUGCAAUGCUGCAAACAAAUAAAGCACAAUCGUAUUGAUUCCUCGUAGAAAACACAAACACAGAGGCGUAAACAACUUGCAGAUAAUUCGAUGAGCUACAUGGUCAAAAAAAAUUACCAAUAUGAAAAGUAAAGAAAUAAAAUCAAGAGCAUACUCGCAUAAUAGGCCGUCCAAAACUUUUCGGCCUGUUCUUCUGGCUUGAGUAAUAGAUCGUCGGGAGUCCAACCUAGUUCGGCUAAGGAGGCUUCUAGGUCGGAGCCGUUAGUCUUCAACUUCUUGGCGGGGGAUGAAGGGUCCAAGUCCGAUGGUAAGGAUGUGGGGAGCCUCUUCGGUUGGUUCAUUUCCGGUGGUGAGGAUUUGGGUUUCAGUUCCGGUGGGGAGGAUUUGGGGCUUCUUUGAGGUUUGGGCGUCGCCUUCAAUUUGGUGGUUGGACUCGCUUCUAUGUUAUAUAAAACGUUAAAAAUAAGCUAAAAUUAGAUCAAAAUUGCACGAGUGGGAUGGCGAGGAACAAGGCUCAAAAUCAGGAACAAGACAGAAGCUGCUCUUCAAAGGUAAGUAUUCAAAGACAUUUACUUUGUUAUAUGAUCUUCCUUUCUAUAUUGAAUGCUUUUCCAGUGACUAUGGAUUAAAUUCAAUUUCCUGUGGAAUUUGAACAUUGAUUUUUAUGAAUUGAGCGAUUUUUGCUCGCUUUAACAUACUUGUCUGAACCCAGUAAGAUUUUUCUGCGAAAUUGGGCAUGUUUGUUUGGGUAUUUGAGUUUGGGUCGCAUUUGGUCUUUUGGGUUUUUGGAUUUGAGUGAAAUGUUGCUGAGAAUUUGUUGAAUUUGGAUAAACCAUAAACCCUCAUACCAAUUUACCGAAAAAUUGGGUCCGUUGCUUGUGGAAGUAAUUUUUUGCAGUGUGGGUAUUUGUUUAUGUGAAAAUAGUCAUUGUUGAGACUGGUGAGACUGGAGUUUUAAGAGCUUGUAUAGGUGAGGGAGUGACAUAUUCGUCGAUUAGAGUUAGUAAACACUAAAGUGACUAAACAGUUUGUGUUAUUUUGGUAGAGAAACUUCAAUUUUUGUCGUGCUACAUGAUUUCUGAAGUUGAAAUUAAGUGAGAUGUUGUUAUGAAGUAUAGCAUUUCUGUGUGAUUUCAUCUUGGUAUGAUUAAACUGAUUGAGAGCUUCAUUCAUUGUUCAUUGGUCUUGUCAUUUGCGUUUCCUUGCAUACUUGUAGUUCUUUCGCUGCAGAAAGCUUUUCUGUUUGGUGUUGGUUUGAUAACUUAUUUACUGUGAUUAUUUCAAAUUUUGAGUAUAGAAGUGGAUUCUAACUCAAAGGCUCAAACAAUGAUGGUUGAAGAAGGGGAAGAUAGGAUCAGUGCAUUACCGGAUGAACUUGUUUGUCACAUACUUUCCUUACUUCCAACAAUAUAUGCUGUCAGAACAACCGUUUGUCUACAAGAUGGAAGGGCAAGUGGACUUCUGUUCGCAAUUUGGAGUUCAAUGACGAACAUUUGAAUUACCGCCAUAAGCGAUUUCUAAGUUUUGUUUAUCGUGUCUUCUUUCGCGACUCAUCAUCAGAAAUCUGCAAGUUCUCUAUUUCUGUUACUGGGGAUUUGUAUCGCAUUAUGGGUAAACUUACUGCAUGGUCUCCUGCCAAUUGGGUUUGCACUGCUGUGAGGUGUAAUCCUGUUGAACUGGAAGUUUGUGGUUUUAAUGAAUUUUUGCCAUUUGAGAUACCUGAGAGCCUUCUGAUGUGCAAAACAAUUAGGGUUCUGAAUGUGUCCAAAAGCUUAGUUCUCGUCUUUCUUUUGAGCCUCCUGUAUCAGGGUGUUGUUUCCCAAGUCUGAAGUCUCUACAUGUAGCAUUUACACGUAUAGAGGAGGACGAUUGGAACAAGCUUGUUUGUUCCUGCCCGGUGCUUGAAGAGUUGAUUAUAGAUGGAGUGCUUGGAUCUGUGAUUGACCGUAGUCAUCAUGUGUCUGUGCGCCUGAACUAAAGACCUUGAUAACAAGGUGUAUCGGUUUUGCUAGCCAUCCAAUGUUCAAUUUGGAUAUCGAUUCCCCAAAGCUUGAAAACCUUCAUAUUGAGAAGCUUCUUCUGCCAAUUUUGUCUUUGAUGAAUACAAAGCCAGCCCUUGCCACUAUUACGUAUUUUACCAGACCUGGGACAGUUGGGACAGUUUGCUACAGAAAAUAUAGCAAUUUCAAACACUCCACCAAGAGUCGAUCAGAAAGAUAGUUCACUAAACAAGGUAAUACAACGCAUGCCACAACACAUUACAUUAGAUGGAGCCAGAAUACUCUCACGAGUUAAACAACCAUAGUUCACAAGCACAAUAGUGUAACUAAGUUCCCAAUAUCCAGAAGAUUGACUUGGGUAGAUCAUAGGAUUGCUAAAGUUAUACAUAAUAUUCAUAGAGGGAAAUAAGUAGAGUAGACAGUUAAAACACGACUCAUACACAAUACAUUACUUGUUCUCGGGCUUUGUCUCAUGACCAGAAGACGGGACUCUGAGGGUGAAAUUUUCCCUCCUGAACUCCUUAGCCUCUUCAGUAUCCUUAUCUGGGCAGUCAUCAGUCAAAUGAGCACCACGCGCGCCACAGUUAUAGCAACAUAUCACAUAAACAAAUUGUUUUUUUCCACUCCCAGGGACAUAAGAACCCCAUGCACAUCCCUCAGGUAAAGAUUCUGGAAGUUCCACUUCUCUAAAGGCUUCACUGCGACUAGGAUCUCUCUCUUUGCAACCAGAGAAAAAAAACAGGUUAAAAAAGGGUAUUGAAUGAGAGAUACAGAAAAAUCAUAAUAACGAAAUGAGCAAACUUGAUCAAUAUCAUAUUCUUUUUACUAUUUUCUGUUCUUCAAUUCAUUCAUUGAUUCAAAUGCAAUGCUGCAAACAAAUAAAGCACAAUCGUAUUGAUUCCUCGUAGAAAACACAAACACAGAGGCGUAAACAAGUUGCAGAUAAUUCGAUGAGCUGUAG